GAGCAAGUGCUGUGCUGUUUUAACACCGCAGUCAAACUCAGCUUUUUCCUCAAAUGAUCAAUAAGCCUUAGGCAGCAAUGAAGUCCUGCCCGAGCCGCAAACACAGCAGCCGCUCAACCAAAAGAAGACAGUUGAGUCUGAAGAUAACCUGGUUAAAGCUUGAAAUGAACAUCAGCUGACAGCAGGAGGCAGGUGCAGCCCGAGGAAACUCCACAGAGUGCUGAAAUGGUGGUUUCUGGAGCGGAGAAGAUUAAUAAAACUGCAGAGAACACUUCCAUUUGGACUAGCCAGAGGCUCUGGGAGAAGAAUGAGGUUGAAGAAAAAUGACAGAACGCUAAUCACUGCUUUAAAGCUUCACAUGAACAUGAUCUGUGUGACCUGACGAUCUGAAGUGGCAAACAUGUACACCAGUUUGGAUUGUGAAUUCGCUUAUGCAAAGCAUUCAUUUGAUAAAUACAGAAACAGAAAAUUAUUAAUGCUCAUAUAUUUACAGGGUUUCACCAAGUUAAAUUUA
rnacentral:sRNA from 1 species